rnacentral:rRNA from 1 species
GAUGAACGCUAGCGGCAGGCCUAAUACAUGCAAGUCGAACGGGAUCCAGAUCAAAGCUUGCUUUGGUUUGGUGAGAGUGGCGUACGGGUGCGUAACGCGUGAGCAACCUACCCUUGUCAGGGGGAUAGCCCGGCGAAAGUCGGAUUAAUACCGCAUGACAUCAUUGAGAGGCAUCUUUCGAUGAUCAAAGAUUUAUCGGACAAGGAUGGGCUCGCGUGACAUUAGCUAGUUGGUAAGGUAACGGCUUACCAAGGCUACGAUGUCUAGGGGCUCUGAGAGGAGAAUCCCCCACACUGGUACUGAGACACGGACCAGACUCCUACGGGAGGCAGCAGUAAGGAAUAUUGGUCAAUGGACGGAAGUCUGAACCAGCCAUGCCGCGUGCAGGAAGACGGCCCUAUGGGUUGUAAACUGCUUUUAUACGGGAACAAACGUCGGUACGGGUACCGGUCUGAGUGUACCGUAAGAAUAAGGAUCGGCUAACUCCGUG